AGAGUAUGACGGCGUGGAGGGCUGCGAACUGGCGUUCAUUGCCACCAAGUGUGUGUAUGAGGCUGAUAAAGAAGUUUUCUUUUUCCCAUGAAUGGACCUUGAGAUCACCGACGGAAGAGAGCAGCUUGGCUUGGAUGAAAAUAAAUUGUUUUAAAUUCAUGCAUGAAAUAAUUUUUAUUCCCCUCUAAAUACUUUUCCCCGUAAAACACAAACCGUUUUUGCAAAAUUGUAGCAUUCGUUAGACAGUAUCGACGCUGCAUAUUCCCAGUACUGAAAGCGUCUUCAUAGGCAUCGAGCAGAGAAUCUGUAGUUACCCUACAAGUUCCAUUUGUUUGAAGCGUCGACCUUUGUAAACAGUACUGAACGGACAGCAUAUCUCUUAGGGAAUCCUAGCUUCUGGGAUGUAAUGACAUAUAGUCCUCUGAAAGUUAACAGACCUCCAUCUUGCGGGUCGAAGAAUGAACCAAACAAGAAACCAAAAGGGUGUAGGCAGCAAGCAGAGCUUCACAUGACGUGCUUUAGAUGGCUCUGGCUGGAGAUCAAUGACAGUAUCUUGUGAACACGGUGGUCCUGCUGAUUCUUCUGGGUUUCAUAAACGGCAAGGACUUCCUUUACCCUUCACUGGAGGGCUCUGUUGUAUGACUUAGCUAUGUAAUUAGUUAAAUGUUUUACCUUAUAAAAUAAAGAAUUUACUAUCUGUC